rfam:Neotoma lepida isolate 417 scaffold_3839, whole genome shotgun sequence.
UAGGGAAGUCAGGGUUCAGCCCCCCCUCCCUGAACCCAGGAUAACCCUGUAAGUAGAGGGGAA